GACGAACGCUGGCGGCGCGCCUAACACAUGCAAGUCGAACGGAGCGUGCGGGAAGAUCCCUUUCGGGGGUGAUUUUUGCAUUGCUUAGUGGCGAACGGGUGAGUAACACGUGAGCAACCUACCUCCGAGCGGGGGACAACAUUUGGAAACAGAUGCUAAUACCGCAUAAGACCACAGCCGGACAUCCGGCAGUGGCCAAAGGAUUUAUCCACUUGGAGAUGGGCUCGCGCCUGAUUAGCUAGUUGGUGAGGUAAUGGCUCACCAAGGCAACGAUCAGUAGCCGGACUGAGAGGUCGAUCGGCCACAUUGGGACUGAGACACGGCCCAGACUCCUACGGGAGGCAGCAGUGGGGAAUAUUGCACAAUGGGCGAAAGCCUGAUGCAGCGACGCCGCGUGAGGGAAGAAGGUUUUCGGAUUGUAAACCUCUGUCUUCGGGGACGAUAAUGACGGUACCCGAGGAGGAAGCCACGGCUAACUACGUGCCAGCCGCCGCCGUAACAC
rnacentral:rRNA from 1 species